AGUGUGAGUGAGCUGCUGCUAAGAGAGUUACUGAAUAAAACAACCUUUCACCUGCCUACGGCCCCCGCAGUGUUCUUUCAGCUAUCUGCUCGUCCAUCCACUCCCUUCGGACCUCAGCAUGAGCUGGAACCUGACUCCAAACAGGACAGGGAGUAGUACUGUUUGUUACCCAGCAACUCUUCAACCCCCCUUUGGAAGUAGCAACUUAGCUGUACCUGACUGCCACUUUAAAACUACUAUUUUUGACAUUAGGAAUUGAAAAUAAUUGUGAAUGCACCCAUUCUUGGAAAACCAGGCAAGAGGUUUCCCUGGACCCUUGAAGCAUGAGAAGAGAUCUAUGAAAGGCUAAAUUACUGUUGCUAGCAAAGGAAGGCUCACAUGGGUGAAGCUGUGAUCAGAAGCAUAAGAUCCCUGGGCUGCACUAUGAAUGUAUAAUGUAUUUAUUAAUGUGGCUCAUGGUUAAAAACAACCACCAAACAAAACCUGACCAUGGAGUAACCAGCCAGAUGCUCAUCUGUUCACCCCUCUCCAAACCUGCGUCACGGCUUGUACAUGAAACAGAACCUAGGAAUCUCAACUAGAUCCAUUGGUAUCACUCUGUCACCACCCAGGCUGGAAUGCAGUAGUGCAAUCAGGGGCCACUGCAGCCUCGACCUCCUCAAGUGAUCUUCCCACCUCAGCUUCCUGAGUAGCUGGGACCACGGCUGGGAUCACAUAACACCACACUCAACUAAUUAAAAAAAAAUUUUUUUUGUUUUUUAUAGUUAAGACUUUAAUCUUCAAGGGACUGAUUUUAACUAUGAUAUACAUUCCGAAUCAAUGCUAGAAUCGGCCUGUACAGUCUCUCAAAGAAAAUUCUGUGGAGAUUUCAAUUGGAAAUGCACUGAAUUUAUAUAUGAAUUUGGGUAGAAUUGAUACUCUUAUGAUAUUGACUUUCCUAUCCAUCUCUCUCUCAAGAUUUUUUCGUGAAUUUCAGUAAAUCUUUUGAUAAACAUAUUCCUAUGUGUAGUCUAUGACUGCCAUUGCUAUUACGAAUGGUAUCUUUUCUUUUUACAUUAUAUUUUCUAAGUAUUCCUUGUUGGUGUGAAAUAAACUUUUCAUUCUUUUGUUUGGAGAUGGAGUCUCACUCCUGUUGCCCAGGCUAGAGGGCAAUGGUGCACUCUUGGCUCACUGCAGCCUUGACCUCCUGAGUUCAAGUGAUCCUCCCGCCUCAGCCUCCCAAGUAGUUGGGACUAUAGGCAUGCACCACCACGACUGCCUAAUUUUUUGUAUUUUUAGUAGAGCUGGGGUUUUGCCAUGUUGGCCAGGCUGGUCUCGAACUCCUGGGUUCAAGUGAUCUGCCCACCUCGGUCUCCCAAAGAGCUGGGAUUACAGGCGUGAGCCACUGCUCUAGCCUGAACUUUUCUAUAGUAAUCUCGUGUUUGGCAACAUUGCUAAAUUCUUAUUGUUUCUAUUAUUUUAUGUAUAGAUUCGUUUUCUUCACAAACACAUACACAAUUGACAACAAUGCUUUUCCUUUUUCCAAUAAAUAAAUGUUCUUUAUUUACUGUAGUACUGCAAAACCUAAGAAAGACUUCUAAUAAUACUAACUGGUGAUUGAGGGCAUUAACAUCUUCUUCCACAUCUUUUUAAAAAAUGCUCCCAACAUUUCUCCAUUAACAUGAUCUCUGCUUGCAAAGGCUUUUUUUUUUUAAGCUGUCCUUUCUUGGAUUAGUAAACUUCCACUGUAUAAUAGUUUGCUAAGUAUUUUCUAACAAUAAAUUCAUGUUAAAUUUC